GAUAUUCAUCCCCACGUUCCAAAUUCCCUCCGUCGGACACAGAAUUCUCUAGGAUCUGACCAGAAUGGAAAGCAAACAUAACUUUCAAAGAUCUCUCACCCGUCUUUAAGAAUUUCUAAUGACUUUCAAAUACUUCGCCGAGACCCAGACCAGCUAGGAGGUCUGAUGUGUGACCUCUCCCGUUACCGUCUUCCCCUUCCCAGCUCUCCCCGCACGGUAAGGGGGCGUCACGGCGUUCGCAGCGGAGUGAGGCCGGGCAUAAUCACACGACCCAUUCACUUCCCGGCCGGCCGCGGUGAGGACCCAGCAGCUUGGGCGCGCCCUAAGCAGCAGGUACAGGCCAGGCGAGGCUGUGGCCUUCCAGUUGCCUCCUGGAGGCCCUCCCGCCGCUCGCUGGCCCCUUGAGCUGCAGCACACUCCUUCCCCUCGCGAGCCUCCCCUGGGACGCACUCACCGGCCACCAUCGACGGUGCCUUCUCCGCGAAGUUACGGAUGAACUUAGCCAUGGUCUAAGGUGGAAGGUACGUCUCCCGAACCACCGGCUGAAUGUCACCUCCGGAAGGACCCGCGGCAGGACCCCUUUCCCACUUCCAAGCCAGUAUCAGAAUUGGGAUCCAAUCCGCUUUUUCAAACAAGCCACUGUGCAGACCAGAGGAAGAAAGUCUUGUGUGUUGAGAAUGUGCACUAUGCCAGGCAUUUUGUAAUUCAGUGGAAGCAUGCUUUGGGUAUUAGCCCCUUAAGGAUCAAGAUUCCUAAAUAGUCAUACAAGGAGUAUCAUUUGCAAGAUAAAUACAAAGAGGAACAUAAGGUUAAGCAUGGUGGUGAUCUGGGAAGGUGAAGAGAUCCUUGUACUCCAGCAAAGCCAUCAUGAAAACUCGGUAUGUCUGGGAGUCUUAACAGAUUUACAGCUGCUGCGGAGUUCCAGACAUGAGACCCUUUGACCUUUGCAAAUGCACAUAUGCGUCUUAUUGUACCAGGAUGGAAGUCUUUAGAGUUUCUUUUUCUGGAUGUCUUUAAAUUAGUUCACAGAAAGAAAGAAGGCACAGAGGACACUUGGUUUCCUCACCACAGUGGCCUUAAGCUACACACGUGCUUUUGUGAUUAAAGAUGUUCAGCAGCUUCGGUGGCAUCACGGCCAUUCAUAGAAAAGUAUCAGAAGAGCUUAAAAAACAAAACAAACAAAACAGAAGCUUGCCAAAAAAGGCUUACAAUCUAAGGUUCGGUUGAGAAGUAGAAUACAGACAGACAUUAGAGGCAACACAGAGCUCAUGCGCUAGAAAGCUGCCCCCGCUAGAAAGCUGCCGGGAGCAGCUGUCUUCUGGAGGGUUUGGACCCAUUUUCCUCCAGUUUUCACUUGCAAAACUUGGGUCUUCCCUCAUUUUCAAAUAAGAGCGUAAAAGCAUCCUCUCACAUUAGCUUUGGAAAAGUAAGAGCAACAGGUAGAAGCUUAUUUCAUAUGCAGUUCAUUCCCAGAGAGGGAAAGGAGAAUGCUACAUACAGGGAAUGAAGUUCAUUUGAAGAAAAGAAAUCCUGUCAACAUCUAGCUACUGGCUCAGGGGCACACUGAGUCCGUCUUACCCUUCUGGCACUUACAGACAUGCCUGAGUCUUCCCUGUUCACAACAGGGGACAUUCUUUAAUAGCCAGAGUGAGAUGCUCUCUCUAAUCACAAGUUUUCCAGUUGAUACCAACAAGAAAACACACACAAAGGACUACUUAUAGCAAGUUGUGUUGGAAUACUUAAAUACUGCUUUUGUAUAUGUAUAUUCUUUUGUAACAGUAAUGUUCUGUAAAAGAAGCCACAGCCACAUUUUCUUAUCCUUUAAACCUCUGGGCUGAGAUUGAUAUUGAUAUAAAAACAUCCCACAAAGGACUGAGCAAAACAGUUGGAGUAAUGGAGCAGAAGCACUUACUGAUUACCCAGAGAGAAGUACCUAUUUAAAAUGGCUUGGGGACAAGAUUUUGCUUUAAUUUCUACUUUGUUAAUUGAUAAACUAUGGCUAGAUGAGAAGCAGCUCUUAGAAGCCAGGUCACAGCCCAAACUCUAGCUAUGUACAUUGUAAUCUUAGGGUUUUAUCUGACUAAACAAGUGAGAAAACACUGCUACCUACUACAUAAAUCUUACCUGGGAAGACACGAUAUAAUGUGGCACUCAAUUAAGUGAGACUAAUAAAAAAAGGACACAGUAUCUGUGUGUUUAACAUAUACACACUGAGAUAUACUGCAUUAGGUAUCCUAAAAUGAUAUUUUCAUAUGGAUAGAAUAUUUAUUGCCUAUUUUACCCAGGCCUAGUCCUCGGAGCACAAAGGAGAAAAGGGCCCAACAGCUUAUUUAUCCUCUUACUGCAAAGUCCACACAUUACUGUCACUCACUGAAAGAUCGCACAGCUACAUUUUUGGUGGUGAGAUUCUCAUAGGGGUGUUUAUGAUGGUAUAUUUAAGGGACAAGAUACUACAAAAGUUGUAUAAGAUUCCCUCAUCU